rnacentral:rRNA from 1 species
AUUGAACGCUGGCGGAAUGCUUUACACAUGCAAGUCGAACGGCAGCACGGGGCAACCUGGUGGCGAGUGGCGAACGGGUGAGUAAUACAUCGGAACGUGCCCAAUCGUGGGGGAUAACGUAGCGAAAGUUACGCUAAUACCGCAUACGAUCUACGGAUGAAAGCGGGGGAUCGCAAGACCUCGCGCGAGUGGAGCGGCCGAUGUCAGAUUAGGUAGUUGGUGGGGUAAAGGCUCACCAAGCCAACGAUCUGUAGCUGGUCUGAGAGGACGACCAGCCACACUGGAACUGAGACACGGUCCAGACUCCUACGGGAGGCAGCAGUGGGGAAUUUUGGACAAUGGGCGCAAGCCUGAUCCAGCCAUUCCGCGUGCAGGAUGAAGGCCUUCGGGUUGUAAACUGCUUUUGUACGGAACGAAACGGCUCUCUCUAAUACAGGGGGCUAAUGACGGUACCGUAAGAAUAAGCACCGGCUAACUACGUG